rnacentral:rRNA from 1 species
UACAGAGGGUGCAAGCGUUGUUCGGAAUUAUUGGGCGUAAAGCGCGUGUAGGCGGCUUUGCAAGUCGGGUGUGAAAGCCCCGGGCUCAACCUGGGAAGUGCACUCGAAACUGCGGGGCUGGAGUCCUGGAGAGGAAGGCGGAAUUCUCGGUGUAGAGGUGAAAUGCGCAGAUAUCAGGAAGAACACCCGUGGCGAAGGCGGCUCUCUGGGACGGUACUGACGCUGAGACGCGAAAGCGUGGGGAGCGAACAGG